rnacentral:lncRNA from 1 species
UCAUCCCAUCAUCAGUAUAUCAUAAACUUAGGAAUGGCCAAACAUCAAUAAUUUUGCUGUCAUGCACGUGACAAAAUUUACUAUUCCUGCUCAAACUUUCUAUCCUUACUAAUAUUAAUACGCAGAAUUCCACAACUCAUUAAUACCUAGCUUUUAAAGUCCUCAUGUAAAAAGCGUCUGCAUCAAAUAUUCCAUCACAGAAGCAAUGAUACCAGAUUAUAAGUAGAAUUUGAGCAAAACUUAACUUAUUAUGCUAAAUAUCUAUAGUCGCAAUGGAAGCCGGUGAGAAAGAAUACAAUUCAAAACACAAAAGUUGCAAAUCUUUAGACCUAAAAGUCAUAGCUAGGCUCAAAACAUGUGGGCGAUUGGCGUGUUGAUUACUUGAUAUACACCAUUGGGACCAUAUAUAUAUAACAUGUUUAAUUCUUUUUUCCAUUUUUGCAUUUAUUCUGCAAAGCAUUCUCUAAAAAACAAGAAAGAAAGGUAUGCAAG